AAUAUGUUUUAAGAACACUAAUCUAUAUGGCAUUGAAAAAGAUAUACCUUCAUAAGUUCUUCUUAUAUUGUAUUCAAUUGACCAAAAGAACCCUCGUUUAAUGGAACAUUGUUUGACUUUCUAAAUUACGCUUUAUUUCAAAAAUGUGGUG
rnacentral:lncRNA from 1 species